rnacentral:rRNA from 1 species
UACGUAGGGUGCGAGCGUUAAUCGGAAUUACUGGGCGUAAAGCGUGCGCAGGCGGUUUUGUAAGCCAGAUGUGAAAUCCCCGGGCUUAACCUGGGAAUGGCAUUUGGGACUGCAAGGCUUGAGUGCGGCAGAGGAGACUGGAAUUCCUGGUGUAGCAGUGAAAUGCGUAGAUAUCAGGAGGAACACCGAUGGCGAAGGCAGGUCUCUGGGCCGAUACUGACACUGAGGAGCGAAAGCGUGGGGAGCGAACAGG